UUCCACCAGUUUGUCCACCGGUGAAAAGGAGAAGCCAGCCAAGAACCAGCAGCUUCUGGCUACCUUGAUCAGAAGGUUGAUGAAGGCAAUGAAACAAAGAUGGAAAAACACAUCACACAGGCCCUUACCAGAUGCCAGCAUCUUGAUAUUGGACUUCCCAGCCUUCAGAACUCAAUUACAAAGAUAUGCUAAUGCUCUGCACCAAGUGGCAGCUACAUGCUUGAGACCAACACUGAAAAUCAGUCAUGGAAUCACUGCAUAUCUGAACAAGGGCCACGAGAGGAGGCACAGAUGGGUCAACUGACUUGAGCAGAGCCACCCAGCAAAUUCAGCGUCGGAGUAUGCUUCCCUUGCCUGAGAAUCGUUACAAAGAGGAGCAUCUGAUGAGGAAAUGAGAACUCCAGCCAGAAACCAGCAAUAAAUUGAGGGCUCCUAUAUGAGCAAUGCAUUCUCCAGCCCCAAUCAAGCCUUUGGAUAACUGCAGCUCCUGCCAGCAUUUUGACUGCACUUCAUGAAACACUUUGAGUCAGAGCCACCUACCUAAGCCACUCCAAAAUUCCUGACCGUCAAAAACUUUGAGAUAAUAAAUGCUUGUUGUUUUAAACUAC
ensembl:lncRNA LINC01423 long intergenic non-protein coding RNA 1423